CAAUUAUUAAAAAAAGUUUAGCAAGACAAUUACUCCAAUGUGACUAUGUUUUCAAAAACAGUGAGAUCUCCCACUAUUAAAAGCCUUUGUGCUAUCUUUUGACUGCUCAAAUACUAUGCUUAAGUUUAAUCCUUCCAAUGUUUUGAUACUUUAAAUAUUGCAUAAGUGGGUAUUUUUAUUUGAAGAUUUUUAAUUUUUUUAAAUCAUUAUCAGCUGUAUUUUUAUCACACUUGUUUAAUGAGAUGGUAAUGUCUCAAAGUUUUAAUGCUAAUUGUACUAAUUGAUAUCUCAAUCACAGAGUAUUUUGCAUUCCAAACUCUUUAGAUUCAAAUUAAAUUCCUAAUAUCCUGACAUAGCUGCCUUCUCACCCUGGUGGCAUCUCUAUUCCGUGACAGGCUUGCAAGCACUCAGCAAUGCUGUUCCAUCUCAGCCUCAUCAAAGUCUACCAGCUCUUUGAUACUUUGCUGCUGAAAAUCUUGAUCGAAGGACUACUUAGUACUAAAUAUAACAGAAGUGGAGCUCAGUUACUUCCUCUCCCAAGAAAGUGUUUUUAUAGUUGGCCAUGUUCACAUUUGUAGUCCCUGUGGUUUAGUGGUUCUUUAAUUAUUGAAAAGGGGAGAGAGAGAGAGAGAGCGCUCUUCCCUUUUAAAUAUCCCAUAGCAUGCCAUUUAAGACAUUUUUUCCACUGAGAUGUGGGAGUUAAGGUUUGAAUUUCCAUAAACAGUGGAAGGAACUGAACUGAGGCAUCUCAUAUCCUCGGAGAGUGCUCAAACAUCUAAGCCUUUGCAUUUAAAUGCAUUAUGAAUGCAUUACAAAUGGUAUUGCCUUCUUUGCCCUUUGAAAGGAAAGUCUCAAGAACCUAUCCAGAACAUCAAGGAAAAGAACUGGUUUCUUUCAACAGAGACUACUUAUGCACUUCAUGUGUUGUAAUUUAAGAUAGAGUCUCUCUCUAGGAAUUAUUUACCUACAUUAAGCUGCUCCCAGCUCAGAAUGCAGCCUGCUGUAAAUCUGAGUGAUUUAAAAUUCUUAAUUUUGGUUCUGUGGCCAAGCAUCUUAACUUGCUUAUUAUUGCUUAUAACAUCUAGUUAAUGCUAUGUUUUUGUGCAUUUGAGCUGUGAGAAACUCAAGAUCACAAAAGAAAGCUGUGGAAGAGAAAAAUACCGAAUUUAGAUAUCAAGAAUCUUAACCAAAAGUCACCCUUCCUCUAUCACAUAUUUCAUCAGAAACCAAUAAACAAGUCAUAAGCAUGCUAUUGAACUAUGCUUCCAUCUUUCCUUGAUUACAGCACUUUCUUGCAUUGCAGUUGUAUUAUUAUUGUCUGAAAGUACCACCCUCCUUAAGUGCGUAAUUGCAGUGAUUGUGCAAUCAUGUUAUCUCUAUUCAUUACUAUAGCAACUGGAAUAAAAACAUUCUCCAGCCCUUCCCAUAUAAAAAGGUCUUCACUUUCUCUCCUUCAAUUUUAUGCAUAUGAUCAGUGAGUGCGUAUGACACAAUGGAAAUCGCAUGCUUUGAAGGCUGCUCAAGUUAGUGAGGGUGUAAAGCUAAAUUUCCCUGAAGUACUUGUUUUAAAAAAAGGGAAGAAAACCUUCCAAUCUGCUCAGUAGGACUCAAGUUAAGUAAGUGUACUGUUUCUCCAGCUUCCUUCAUGUACUCUUGGCAAAGUACUUCACCAGUUAGGAAGAGGAGCAAAGCAAGUAGAUAGCAAAAUAAGUCCCAACAUGAGACAGAUGCUCAUACUGUAUAUUCGAACAUUAGAACUUGAAUCUUUGCCCUCCCUGAGCUUUAAUGAGGCCUUGCUUAUGCUGAUAUUUUUGUAAUUACAACUCCCAAACUCUGCCUAAGGGUAACAACUGACAUCAUUAACGUAAAUGAUCUGAGUCAUGAACAAAGCUUCACAUUUCAUCUCUCUUUCUUCUUCCUUCCUUUAAAUAUAGCAUUUGGAGCUGGCAGGGAGUCCUUGUUUUUGUUUUUGUUUUUUAAUUAAUACAUUUCUUAACACAGAGGAAAACGUGGAAAAACCAACUGAAGAGAUCCAUGUUGUUGUUUUGUUAACAUCAAAACAAAAGUAGCAUGAUUUCUACUACAAAAGUUUUCAAGAAUCUGAUGACAUUUGCACUGUGGCUGCAGCCCGACAUUUACAAUUGUUCCAGUAUUUUCACAGGGUCUGUUGGAAUUACAUUAUCUGUGAGACUUCUACUUUGUAUCAAACCUUGUUACAAUUUGUCAACAGGUUGAAAAUCUACUACUUGAAAUCGUGGGCAUGUACCCGUACCCAACCACCCUGAUUGCACAAGUUUCAUUUCCUUAGGAAACCAGUCUGAAAACAGAAGGCAAAAAUAGGGAACUCAAAAUUGUCUUCCAAUACAAUGUAUCACAUACAUUCUAGUAAGUGAAUAGACUGAGUACUUCAUUUCCCCUGUAAGUUCUACAGGCGAAAAGCAGUACGAUCCACUGCCUGUUGGAUUUAAAUGCAGUUAAUGUUGAUUCCGUUGUUUGCCAUUAGCUGCAUAAUUCUGGUCAAAUUCUCUCCCAUUUCCCCUUUUGCCUGCUUAAACAAAGUUUGGUCAGGCAGGAGCAAGUGCUUUCUCCGUGUUUUUGGAGUGCUUAGCAUGCCGCUGCUCGUGAAAGAAUCUGAAGAUGAAUAGAAACACACAGCCUGCUUUUCUCUAAUUGAUAAGUAUACAAAUAGCCAGAACAGAAACAAAAUCUAAGAUUUUCAGUAGCAAGUACAUCAAAAAAAGAGAGGUGUUCAAAGCUAACUUUUUGAAAUCACCAUACAGAUCAAAGGAAAUUUAUUACUGAUUUUGUUGAUGGUUCUAAACUUGGAAAUCUCUCUCUCUUUUUUUUUUUUUUCCCUGGGUCAUUUAAAAGCAGAUAGAUAAAUAAUUAAGCUAAAGGAAGCAAAUAAAUAAACAAAUAAUUGUGGAGGAUGAAUCCAAUUACUAGUUUCUUCUACUCUGAAGAAUAGAAUUGGAUAGAAUAGGAUAGAAUUCUUAAGCAGCCGUUUCUUUGGCUUCUUAGAAAAGCACGGGAAUCAUAUGAGUUACUAAUGCUCCUGCUUAUUAUUUCUCCUGUUUCUAACCUGAGAAUCAAUGCUACAUUAAGAAAUUCUGGCUAGUUUUGAUGUUACUAAUGAUGCAAGUGCUGAUAACUGUAGUAGAGGUUUUGAAGUGAGCUAAACAGAGUUACAAAUGCCUGUCUUGCUUUGCACCUUGCUGUAAACAGCCUGAGGGAUGGGUUCUGUGAUAAGAGAGUAAGCCUACACCACACCCUAGAUUCAGUUACAUGAGAGAGAGUGACACAUUUUCAUCCAGACUGCCUCUCUGAUGCUGUUUACCUUUGCUUUCCCUUCAGUUCAAACUAAAAUAGUGGAUUUGAGCCUCAGGUUUAGCAGCUCUAAAAUGAAGGUCCUAAACUGUUAAAAAAAAACAAAAAAACAAAAAAAACAAACAAACAAACAAAAAAAACACAUCCUUGCCUUAACUGUAACUGAAACAGUUUCAUUGUCUGUGAAAAGUAUGCUUUGAACAAAUGUAACAAUGAUACCCCAAAUCCUGUGCAAAGUUUAAGAAACAGUCGGUGAAACCUGAUCUCACUUUACAUUAGAAAUCUACCACUCUCAGUUUGUAUUGAAUCAGUAACAAGUUUUAUACUGGUAAAGCCACCUCCUUUCUCCAAUACAUUUAGAUCUCUUUACGAGAAGGUAGAGUCACUAGGUGCCUUCUUCACUUCAGUCUUUAUUGCUAAGACUGUCCCUUGAGAAUCCCAGACUCUGGACAUUAGAAAGAGAAUCUGGGGAAAGGAAUACCUCCCCUUGGUCAAGGAGGAUCUGGCCAGAGAUUAUCUAGGCAAAUUCAGUGCACACAAAUCCAUGGGCCUCAUUGGGAUGCACCUAUGAGUGCUGAGGGAGCUGGCAGAAAUGAUUGCCAAGCAGUUCUCUGCCAUCUUUGAAAGGUUGUGGACAAUCAGAGAGAUGCCUGAGAACUGGAGGAAAGGCAAUGUCACUCCAGCCUUCAAUGGGAGCAACUUUUUCUGGAUAUCAUCUUCAAGCAAGUGGAAGAACAGAAGGUUAUCAGGAAUAGAGAACAUAGAUUCACCAAGGAAAAACUGUGCUUUACCAGUCUGGUAGCCUUCUAUGAUGUCACAACUGGCUGGGUUCAUGAGAGGACAUUGGCUGCCUUGACUUCAGCAAGGCUUUUGACACUGUCUCCUAUAACAUCCUUGUGGGUAAACUUAGGAGGUGUGGGAUAGAAGAGGCACAUGCUCUACCACCUGUGCAGGAACAAACAACCUGAAAAUCACCUUGAGAUGCUGUGUCACAGAACAAAGACUUCUGGGUACCUCUGCUUUGGACACGGAAUGUGUGAUCAUUUCUUGGAAAAAAGAGUUCAACUGUGAAUACAUAUUUGGUAAAUAGGCUGUAGUCAUUAUGAAAUUAUCAAAUGAAACAAGUUUUUAUCAAUGCAAGGAAAUCCACACCAUCAUCUUGGUGAAUUUAACAAAGCAUGAUGGCUUAUAUUUCUACUGCUAUUGCUCAUAGUUUAAUACUAUUGUUUCAUCUUCUCCAUCUAGAGAAGGUAAGACCAUAAUUUAGUGCCAAUAAUGCAAUGAAUUUUCUCUUAAUUUUACUACCAGAGAUGGUUUCAUUAAGUUGUUCUGAAAUAUACAGAAAUAUCUAGCUGGUAGCAAGCAGUGCCUUGGAAAAAUUCUGCUCCAAUAGUUGAUGCUUGCUAGUUUUAAACAGGAAGGAGUUGAAAAUUAUAAGGAUAUACAAAUAAAGAUGAGAAUAUUGUUUCUAAACUGUUGUUUUACUCUGUUCUUAAAUUCUCUGCUUUUAUUUUGGCACAGUCUGUAUGAGUGCUUUUAAAAAAUGAGCUAUGAUACAUAGUUAAAGUGAGCUUCUGGGAAAUCUCUGUGCCUGUCAGGUAGUGAUUUUAUAAGACCUGAGAAAAAAUAGAGCAUUAAUCUCAUCAUCAGCUACGAAUUUCUUCUUUAACUUUAUUUCAAGUAGUUUCUUUUUAAUCAGAAUUCCUGAACAGUCAGACCUGAACUUUUCACACACUAAGCUGUUUCAUGUUGCACAGGUGCAUUUGAGAAGUGUUUUCUCUCAGAUGUUUAUUGAAGCCUUGGAUUUAAUCUGGAAUUUGUAUGUUUGUGAAUUUCAUGUUCAGAUAUAUUAUCAUGAUUGCCUUCCAUGUGGUUUCACAAAGGGGGCCAUUCUGCCUUUCUUAGUGUUCCUUUCAAAGAGAAAUUUUUAAAAAUCCAGAUAUUUUAGCAGAUGAGUUAAUUAUAGUGUAACAUUAUCUUCCUUUUUGCAUACAGUUCUCAUAGGUAUUACAUAAGACAUAACUGCCAACAAGGCUUUACCUAGUGUUGAGCAGUGAGUGAUAAGUUAAAGAGCUGCCCUUCAAGUUACUUUGAUUACAGAAUCUGGAAACAACUUCUUAAAGAUGAAGCAGUGCUCCAAGCUUAUUUUGUCUAUUCAUAUAUUGCUCAUCGGCUUCCUUGCUAACUCAGCUAUGGUCUCCUACUGAGUCUGAAAAAUGCACAUGUGACAGAGUGAUUUCAAAUGAGUUAACUAACUUAAGUCAACUGUAAAUCCUAUAAGCUAUCAACACUGCAGUAGCUAAGACUCUUUAGUUCAGCUGUAGGUUUAUAAUUUAGAAACCACUUUUUCUGGUUUGAAGAUGAGGUAAAAAGUAACAAUAUGUAGAUACUAAAUCACAAAUUCUAAAUGUACUUCUAAAAUCUUGAGAAGCAGCUUAAGUCCCAUUCUCAGUCCAGGAUUUGUGUAAAGAAAUACCGCCUGUGCUUCAAGUAGUGAGGGAUGAAAGCUUUUAAUGGGAUGAAGAAUUCUUUUCUUCUCAUUCUAGCUAAAGCAGUGGACAAGGUUCCCAAUGAAGUGAAAGUUAAUGUUCUCCAACAGAUAGACUCUACAUUUCCAUUUGUAUGGCAUCUAACAUCUGACAAAUAAGACUGUUUUGUAAAGAAAUUCUACAAUGUAGAAUACUAUUCAACCAGUUGAACAAACUUGCUGUCAGAGAGAAAGGAGUAAAGAUCCAUGCUGCAUAUGUCACUGAGUAAGGAAUACAAAAACACAUUUCUUACUGAAACAGGUGCCAGGCAUUGGUUAACCUAAUGUAAAAAUUAUUCUAUUAGAAAUGUAACGUUGGUUUCAAAUCUUCCUCUUCUAUGUUCUCCCUCUCCUUUCAAAACAGUAAUAUAUUUGCUGUCUUUUAAGAAGUCAGUAAUGUGUCCCUUGCUACAUAAACAAAGAAAUUAUGCACUCUUUAAAGAAGGAAGCAACACUGCAGAGGAGGAGGAAGGGACUUCACUGCCUUUCUGUUAUGAGGCAGCAUGCCAUGUGUGGCUAAUGGGAGUCUAUGGCCUUCCUCCUAAGUCUAUGCCUAAAUAUUUCCUUACCUUCUGUUCUCCAUGGUUCAGUGGUUAUUCUAAACUGAAUCACUCAGGCAUAUUCGUAAUUCUUGUAAUUUAAAUAUCAACUAAAAUAUCACCCUUACACUCUAUCCUACUCUCUGAGGAAAUUAUUCUAAUAUAUACGUAUAUGUAGGUAUGGAAAUAAGAAUGCAGGUAUGUGUAUGUAUAUGUAUAUAUAUAUAUAUACACACACACAUACACAGGAGCUAACAAGAACGACCAGGGUUGCAGGCCUCCACCUUGCUCUUAGUUGAACACCAUAAUCAAUUAGGUGCAUCUCUUGUUGAGUGCAUGAGAGUGCACACAGCUGAAUAUUAUUUUCCUCUAGGGUGUCAAAAAAGUAAGACAAGAACAGAAGCCCUCUGUUUUUAACUAUUUUCACCAUCACGAGAAAAAAACAUGAGAGAUAUAUAUUUGUAACGGAAAAAAAAAUGGCCUUUUGGUGAGAGCAUAAGUUGCACUGCAUUAAAUAUUUGAUUACUUAAUCAACAAGCAACCUCUACUAUAUAUCUUUCAGCUGUAGUGCAAAGGAGUGAUGACUUCAAAGAAGCAAUUCAGAGAUUAUUAUAGAAAUGGCUGAUCUGAGAACAUACUAUGUGGCAAGUUUUUAAGGACUGAAAACUUCACAAUGGCCUAAGAUUCAAGGCUGACAAAUCCAGAAAGAUAAUAUGCUGCUAUAUCGAAGCCAAGUCAUAUGGAUCUCUCAGGGAAAUAUAUGUGCAGCUUUGCAUCCCUCGACUACACAAAAAGCCUCAGAUUGUAAAAAUAUUUGGAGGAACUCACUUCCAGCCUGGACACUUGUUACAGCUCCUGAGCACACUGGAGGACAUGAUUUCUUUAUUGCUGCUUCUCAAAGGAAGUGUUUAUGCCUUUGUAUAUAAUUAGCUCCACUGUGAAGCUCUGAGAAAGAAAAGGCUUGGUUAUCUUGUUAGACUUGUGGUUCAGCAGGGUGGAGAGUAGUGAGGUAGAACAGAAUGUUUUGCACUUAGUCAUAAGCAGUACUAGAGGCAACUUAAAAUCUUCAGUAUCGACUGGCUCAGUGUGGGGUUCUAUUACCAGUAGAAAAGGAGAUAUUCAAAGCCUGACAGCAGCUUUGGAGAAAUACUGCUGGGUGGAAAUUCCAUCUCAUCCUGAACUCUGUCUCAUUCCCCAUUAGGCAGCAUGAUCAGAAAAAUACAUUUUUGUGCAGAGAAACAAUGCCUACACAUCAGAAUUCAUAGCAAUGUGAUAACACCAGGCCUCACAGUAGUUUGAAGACCAUGGAGCACAUCGCCAGUCUUGGCUGGAUUGUUCUACUACACCCAUCAUAAGUCCAGAUUUGAAGCCUUCUGACUUAUAUCUGUUCAGGCUGAUGAAAGAUGGACUGUGUGGGCAACAUCUUCCUAGUAAAGAUGGUCGCCAUAAUAGCAGCUGUGAAACACUGGGUCACUUCCACUGGUACAGAUUUUUAUGAAUGUGGCAUGCAGGCUCUUGUUCAUCACUGGCAAAAAUGCACAGCUA